rnacentral:rRNA from 1 species
UGAGGAAUAUUGCGCAAUGGGGGAAACCCUGACGCAGCAACGCCGCGUGGGUGAAGAAGGCUUUCGGGUUGUAAAGCCCUGUCAGGUGGGAAGAACCUUCUGCAGGUGAAUAGUCUGCGGAACUGACGGUACCACCAAAGGAAGCACCGGCUAACUCCGUGCCAGCAGCCGCGGUAAGACGGAGGGUGCAAGCGUUGUUCGGAAUCACUGGGCGUAAAGCGCGUGUAGGCGGUCCGAUAAGUCGAAUGUGAAAGCCCGAGGCUCAACCUCGGAAGUGCAUUCGAAACUGUCGGGCUUGAGUACGGGAGAGGGAAGUGGAAUUCCUGGUGUAGAGGUGAAAUUCGUAGAUAUCAGGAGGAACACCGGUGGCGAAGGCGGCUUCCUGGACCGAUACUGACGCUGAGACGCGAAAGCGUGGGGAGCAAACAGG